rnacentral:rRNA from 1 species
AAAUUGAAGAGUUUGAUCAUGGCUCAGAUUGAACGCUGGCGGCAGGCCUAACACAUGCAAGUCGAACGGUAACAGGAAGAAGCUUGCUUCUUUGCUGACGAGUGGCGGACGGGUGAGUAAUGUCUGGGAAACUGCCCGAUGGAGGGGGAUAACUACUGGAAACGGUAGCUAAUACCGCAUAACGUCGCAAGACCAAAGAGGGGGACCUUCGGGCCUCUUGCCAUCGGAUGUGCCCAGAUGGGAUUAGCUUGUUGGUGAGGUAACGGCUCACCAAGGCGACGAUCCCUAGCUGGUCUGAGAGGAUGACCAGCCACACUGGAACUGAGACACGGUCCAGACUCCUACGGGAGGCAGCAGUGGGGAAUAUUGCACAAUGGGCGCAAGCCUGAUGCAGCCAUGCCGCGUGUAUGAAGAAGGCCUUCGGGUUGUAAAGUACUUUCAGCGGGGAGGAAG